UAGAACAUAGGGGUAAAAUGCAGUUUUUGGCUUAUAACUCAAAAACCAAAGCAUUUAGAGCAAAUCUGACAUGGGGUAAAAUUGUUUAUAAGGUGAAGAUCUAUCUGCCCUGAAAUUUUCAGACGAAUCGGAUAACCUGUUGUUGGGUUGCUGCCCCUGAAAUGGUUAUUUUAAGGAAAUUUUGCAGUUUUUGGUUAUUAUCUUGAAUACUAUUAUAGAUAGAGAUAAACUGUAAACAGCAAUAAUGUUCAGCAGAGUAAGACCUACAAAUAAGUCAACAUGACCAAAAUUGCCAGUCGACCCCUUAAGGAGUUAUUGCCCUUUAUAGUCAAUUUUAACAACUUUUCAUCAUUUUUUGUAACUUUUCUAAAAAUCUUCUUCUCUAAAACUACUUUGCCAAAUUUAAUCAAACUUGGCG
rnacentral:lncRNA from 1 species